rnacentral:rRNA from 1 species
AGAGUUUGAUCCUGGCUCAGGACGAACGCUGGCGGCGUGCCUAAUACAUGCAAGUAGAACGCUGAAGAGAGGAGCUUGCUCUUCUUGGAAGAGUUGCGAACGGGUGAGUAACGCGUAGGUAACCUGCCUUGUAGCGGGGGAUAACUAUUGGAAACGAUAGCUAAUACCGCAUAACAAUGGAUGACACAUGUCAUUUAUUUGAAAGGGGCAAUUGCUCCACUACAAGAUGGACCUGCGUUGUAUUAGCUAGUAGGUGAGGUAACGGCUCACCUAGGCGACGAUACAUAGCCGACCUGAGAGGGUGAUCGGCCACACUGGGACUGAGACACGGCCCAGACUCCUACGGGAGGCAGCAGUAGGGAAUCUUCGGCAAUGGGGGCAACCCUGACCGAGCAACGCCGCGUGAGUGAAGAAGGUUUUCGGAUCGUAAAGCUCUGUUGUAAGUCAAGAACGAGUGUGAGAGUGGAAAGUUCACACUGUGACGGUAGCUUACCAGAAAGGGACGGCUAACUACGUGCCAGCAGCCGCGGUAAUACGUAGGUCCCGAGCGUUGUCCGGAUUUAUUGGGCGUAAAGCGAGCGCAGGCGGUUUGAUAAGUCUGAAGUUAAAGGCUGUGGCUCAACCAUAGUUCGCUUUGGAAACUGUCAAACUUGAGUGCAGAAGGGGAGAGUGGAAUUCCAUGUGUAGCGGUGAAAUGCGUAGAUAUAUGGAGGAACACCGGUGGCGAAAGCGGCUCUCUGGUCUGUAACUGACGCUGAGGCUCGAAAGCGUGGGGAGCGAACAGGAUUAGAUACCCUGGUAGUCCACGCCGUAAACGAUGAGUGCUAGGUGUUGGAUCCUUUCCGGGAUUCAGUGCCGCAGCUAACGCAUUAAGCACUCCGCCUGGGGAGUACGACCGCAAGGUUGAAACUCAAAGGA